AAAAAUUAAAUCAUUUAAAUUCAAAGAUGAAUAAAAUUUAGAAUUUUAAGAAGAUAUAUUUUUAUAAAAAGGUCUAAUUUUUA
rnacentral:tRNA from 1 species